AGCCGGAUCCGGGACGCCCCGACGCCCCGCUCGGAGCCCCCUGGCGGCGGGGACAGGACUCCCUGUUCCCGGCCAGAGGCUCCCGCAGGAAAGGGAAGGACCGCCUUCAGCUUCCUCCCCUGGGGCCGGGGCCUCCACAGAAGCACGGCCGGCCUCCUCCGCCUGCCCACGGGCAGGGGAAUGGACAAGUUGACCUCUGGAUGAGCACCUCCCGGGGAUCUACGUGCCUGGCCCGUAGUAAGCGCUUCAGAAAUACCGUG